UGACGCAGUCUCCAGGCACCCUGUCUUUGUCUCCAGGGGAAAGAGCCACCCUCUCCUGCAGGGCCAGUCAGAGUGUUAGCAGCAGCUACUUAGCCUGGUACCAGCAGAAACCUGGCCAGGCUCCCAGGCUCCUCAUCUAUGGUGCAUCCAGCAGGGCCACUGGCAUCCCAGACAGGUUCAGUGGCAGUGGGUCUGGGACAGACUUCACUCUCACCAUCAGCAGACUGGAGCCUGAAGAUUUUGCAGUGUAUUACUGUCAGUGCAGUUUUGGCCAGGGGACCAAGCUGGAGAUCAAACGU
rnacentral:lncRNA from 1 species